rnacentral:rRNA from 1 species
UACGGAAGGGGCAAGCGUUGUUCGGAAUCAUUGGGCGUAAAGGGCGCGUAGGGGGUGCUGUAUGUCUCCCGUGAAAGCCCACGGCUCAACUGUGGGAGGUCGGGAGAAACUGCAGGACUUGAGGCUGGGAGGGGCUGGUGGAAUUCCCUGUGUAGCGGUGAAAUGCGUAGAGAUGGGGGAGAACACUCGUGGCGAAGGCGGCCAGCUAGACCAGUUCUGACACUGAGGCGCGACAGCGUGGGGAGCAAACAGG